CACCGCGGUUAUACGAAUUGGCCCAAGUUGAUAGGUAUCGGCGUAAAGCGUGGUUAGGGGUUUUAACCAAAAACUAAAGCCGAACGUCCUCAAAGCUGUUAUACGCUUCCGAAAGAACGAAGUUCUCCAACGAAAGUGGCUUUAAUUCCCAACCUGACCCCACGAAAGCUGUGAAA
rnacentral:rRNA from 1 species